CCUUAAAGCGUGUGGUAGUCAAAGCUUUAUUCUAUAGUUAAAGUGUGGCACGACUUGCAAUAGAAUAAUGGAACCGUUGAAAAAACGCAAGAAGCGUGGACAUUACAAGAAAUACUUGAAUCCUGGUGCCAAGUUCUUCGUGCCUAGGUCUACAGAUUCAUCGGCGCGGCUCCGAAUGGCAGGUGCAGAAGCGAAAUCCCAGCCGGGCAGUGUUUCCUGCGAUCUUAACCUGGACGACAGCAUAAUGACGCACCGAGAAUGCAACGCGGAGACGUCAACUGCGCCGGUCGACGCACAUUGCAUGGAAUAUUCCCAGGACGGUCGUGCAGCGUCUGCUAUAAACGAAUUCUCCAGCAGUAAUGUGCGCGGAUGUGUCUUUCCCGGAAAUGUCGAUUUGGUAGAACCUAACAAAGAUGCACAAGAGCAAGCCUCAGAAAAAAAGGACUUCAGCCAGCCAGACGCGCAACACGAAGAUUCUGGACAAGGGGAGGACUGCAGCCUGCCAGUUGCUCAAGACAAAGAAUCUGGACAAGGGGAGGAUUUG